AGGGGAACCAGGUGAUUGCGUGC
rnacentral:miRNA from 1 species